rnacentral:rRNA from 1 species
CAAUAGCGUAUAUUUAAGUUGUUGCAGUUAAAAAGCUCGUAGUUGGAUUUCGGAUGGGAUUUGCCGGUCCGUCGUUACGAUGUGCACUGGCCAGUCCUAUCUUGUUGUCGGGGACUAGCUCCUUGGAUUCACUUCCUGGGACUAGGAGCUGACGAGGUUACUUUGAGUAAAUUAGAGUGUUCAAAGCAAGCCUACGCUCUGAAUACAUUAGCAUGGAAUAACACGAUAGGACUCUGGCUUAUCUUGUUGGUCUGUGAGACCAGAGUAAUGAUUAAGAGGGACAGUCGGGGACAUUCGUAUUUCAUUGUCAGAGGUGAAAUUCUUGGAUUUAUGAAAGACGAACUUCUGCGGAAGCAUUUGUCAAGGAUGUUUUCAUUAA